rnacentral:rRNA from 1 species
UACCGGGGAGGAGUCUCUUCUUUCCCAUUUCUCUGGGUAGGUGUCAAACUCAUGUUACGGUUUUCCGUUUUUGUGUAGUGCGAUUAGGGACUCUAAUCUUGGUGUGGAUGAUGUCUGCUCUUACUCUCUUGAACGGAACGGGAUAGGGAUCGGUUCUUUCGUUUCUUCUGCCCCGUGGCUCGUUUGUCCGGCGCUGAGGCGCUCGUCGGUUCCGCCGCGGAAGUACUUCCAUUGCUGCGGCACUGCGGUGGCAGCGGACAAGGCCUCCCGGCCUUGUUCCCAAAGGGGGCCGCGAGCUCCUCCCUGUACUAGUCCUGGUACCGUCGCGGGGUUCUUCCUUUGCCGUGGGUGUCCGCAGCAGCGACGGUCGUAGCCGUUCGGCACGCCUCUAAAGCGGGGCAGGUACUUGUUUCAGGUUUGGUGGCCUCGGUGCUGGUCCCUCGUCUAACGGCCCACUGUGGCCUGCGGGGGCCGGAGGGGAGGUGGUUGUCGCUGGUGCUGGCCGGCAGGAGUUUCAUACUCCGCCUGGGCAGCCUGGUGGUGGGUCUCGGCGGCGAGGCCGUAGGCCUUAGGUGUCGUCCGGCGCAUCGGAUGGCCUUAGGGUGGCGGCCCGCGCGGCUGGCAGCCUGUCUCGGUUGGAACUCGUAGCGGCCGUGGUGCGGUGGUGGUGGUUGGUAGGAGUUGGUGCGGCCUCUUCCCUCGUUGGGUCCGCGCGUUGGUGGUGGCGAGCCCCGACGGCCGGCCGCGGGCUCGGGUGUGGUGGGUCUCCUUUGGCCUAGACCCGGCCUACGGGCUCUAGGCAGCGGUGGUCGGCGGUUCCGGCGGGGGGUGCGACGGGGACGUCGGCACCGCCGUGUCGGUGGCGGCCUCAGGGGACCCCGGCGGCGGGGUCAUAGGGCGUAGGCGGCGCGGCAGCCUGCGGGUCCCCGCGGCAGCGCGGCGUCGGCCUCCGGAGGAGCGCUCCUUGCCUCCGCUCGGGCGGUGGCGGCAGUCGGUUCGCUCGAAGCGAGCGGUCGGAGGAGGCCGCCGCCGCCCCUCUCCUCUCCUCUCAGCCCCCGCCGCCGCCUAUCCCAAGCGGGCUCGGCGGGGGGACCUCCGUCGCGCCCGCUGCCCGUGGAAGGGUUAAAUGUGCACAGAGUACGUUAACUAUAAUCUCUCCAAUAAAUACUUGCCUUUGGUUCCCGGACAUGUUACGAUCUACGCAUAUACACCUACGAAUUCUCUUUCAUAUGUCGGUGUAGUAGUUAGUGAAUACAAAUAAAACGAUUCAGUAGAGGUCCGUCGACGUGACACGUACACGAAUCGCACUCUUUCGAGUACUGGUGAUAGGCGCCGUUGGCACGUGCCUAUAAUAGAGUACGAUUAUCGGCGUACCUACUUAGUACGAGAACGGGACCUGCGGUUCCGUUCGUAGGCACGGGUCACGUGCGUGGGGUGGCGCUCUCGCGGUGCGCAGCUCGGUGGGUGAGUAGGCGUUGGUUCUGCCGUGUGUGGUGCGACGCUCCCGUGGCACGUAGCUACGUGGACUUCGUCGUGUUUACAACACCUCCUCGUUGAGGUGGAACGACGAUGUUACACAUGUCGUGUUCACAACUUCCUUGUUGAAGUUGCACGACGCGAUCUAUAGCGAGAUCUCCGCUUACAUCCGGAUAUACCGUCGUUCUCAAGUUAGGUCUUGAGGAUCUCGUGUUCUAGAUGAGGUUCUAGAAUCUAUUCUUGUUGUUCAAGAUAAUAUCACAAGCACGAUCACUAGGAGCAGGUCUAUAAGACGAGAAGUCAGACCAAUAUACGGCUUCGUAUACGGCUUUCUUCCGCAGCGGCCGCUGCCGAGGUUCUGGCAACUCGUCUCGAGCCGACUCCUCCGGGCACGCCGUUUGCGCGAGCACGACGCUCCGUCCGGCCCUCCGCUCGACCCACGCGGUGCGAGGCACGCUCUGCACCCGUACAGGUCAUGGAGGAAGGGAGAGGAGUGCGCCUGGUUGAUGGGACUACCUUCAGUAGUACCUCCACGCCGUAUACACCUUUCGGCACCUUUGGCCGCUACAGCCCAUGCUCCUCCUGGCCAACCGCUACCUCCGCUAGAACGCGAGAUAGGGUGUACUCUACCACGAGUGGGAACCGCGGUUCUUCUGCCGGUUCCUUCGUACCCUGUGGUAGUUGUGAGCUCUGGGCGGCGAUGGGGUUAGUUUCUCUGCUCGCCUUUCCGGGGCGGAAAACGUGGGGAUC